ACGUCACCACCUUCGCGUCUUUUCUGGAGAGCGCGGGAAGACACCGAGAUGAACCCAGCAGGCAAGCUGGCAGGAAGUCAGACUGCGGCCCUUGCCUGAGAGGAUGACACAGGCCAAAGGAGAGAAGGAAAACAACAAGGCAGCCAGAGCUAGGGUCUGUGCUCAGCUCUGGAAGAUGCAGCCAUGGGUGAAUCAACUCUCCUUGCUUCAAGUUUAUGCUUCAUUAGGAGAGAUAAGAAAGCCAAGGCCUGCAGCGUGUGUUAGUUCCAGGUCAGAGAUCAAACCCAAGCCAUAGUAGUGACCUGAGACACUGCCGUGACAAUGCUGGAUCCUUAACCAACUGUGCUUGGCCCAGGAUCGAACCUGCAUCCCAGCGCUCCAGAGACACCACCAAUUCUGUUGUGCCACAGUGGGAACGCUCUCUCUCUCUCUCUCUCUUUUUUUAAUUGGUGGGGGAAGAAAAGGAUACAGUGAGACAGCUCAGUCCAUAGCCCACUUCUGGUUCUUUCUGACUAUGACAUGAAGGAUUUUUCAAAUCUUUGCAUACCAGAAAUCGCUGAUUUUUCCUUUCAAAGAGGAUUGCCUCCCACCCUGUCCUUGUUCUUCCCUAAGUUCCAUCAUUAGUUUCCCAGGGCCUUGCUGGGGGAAGGUUCCCCCCUCUGAGAAUAUGGUAGGAAUGAAACUUGCUAGAAAAAUGCGAAGCAUUCCCAGCUUUGCCACCUCCACAUGGCAGCAGGCUGCAAUGCUAUCUUUGUGCCUUCAGAUAAAGAGAUCAAAGUUUCUUCAAGAGCUGAUUCCCCAGGCUGAUUUGCAUGGGGGUGGGGUGGGGUAGGGAGUGUGAGGAUAAGCAAGAUAGGAUGCAAGUGGAAAUUUCUAUUUCAAAGGUGAAGUCUCCAGCAUGGCCAGCAGGACUGGAUCUGCACUAGCAAGGAACCAGCCCUGUUCUCUGGCUGGGGGAUCAGACAUAAGGUUUAAGGCAGAGUCUGACCUCAGUCUAGAAUUCUGGGAUGUCUACACUGGAAGGUGCCUUAGGCCUAGCUAAGCCAACCCACUCAUUUUACAGAUGGGGAUAUUGAGGUCUCAGAAGUGGCAGACUAGACCUGGAGACGAGUGCUCUUGACUUUUUUCCUGAAAUAUAUUUGAUAUAUAAUAUUGUGUAAUUGUGUAAAUUUAGGGGAUAUAACAUGUUAAUUUGAUGCAUUUUUAUAUUGUAAUAUGAUUGCCAUUGUAGCAAUAAUUAGCACCUCUGUCAUGAUAACUAUCCUUUAUUUUUAGUGGUUGGACCAUUAAGUUCUAGUCUCUCAGUAAAAUUUUUUAAUUUUGUCUUUUUAGGGCCACACCCGUGGCAUAGGGAGGUUCCCAGGCUAGGGGUCCAAUCGGAGCUGUAGCUGCCGGUCAACACCACAGCCACAGCAAUGCCGGAUCCGAGCUGCAUCUGUGACCUGCACCACAGUUCACUGCAAUGCUGGCUCCUUAACCUAAUAAGCAAGGCCAGGGAUCGAACCUGUGUCCUCAUGGAUACUAGUCAGAUUCGUUACCACUGAGCCACGAAGGGAACUCCAUCUCAGUAAAUUUGAUGAUUAUUAUAUUGCUGUCUAUAUUCACUAUACUGUGCAUUAAAUCUCUAGGGCUUAUUUACUACUCGUUGCAACUUCUCUUGGCUUUAUGUCCAGUGUACUUUCCAUGACCUCUUGCUGUUUUCAUCCACUAGUGUGUGAGUAUAUGGGUAUAGAUUCAUCAAUAAAUAAAACUUGAGAGAUUAAUAAAAC
rnacentral:lncRNA from 1 species